GGGCCUCUAGCUCAAUGGUAGAGCAGUUGACUCUUAAUCAACCGGUUCGGGGUUCGAGUCCCCGGGGGCUCACCA
rnacentral:tRNA from 1 species